UACCCAGAAGUUCAGAAUGUGCCCUUAUAUGGGAAUAGGAUCUUUGAAGAUAUAAUUAGUUAGGAUGAGGUUUCUGCGCUAGAUAAUAGUGGUGACUGGGGUUUCAUGAGAAUACAAGAGGAUGCAAGAAAUACACACAGAGAAGUCCAUAUUGAGAUGAAGGUGGGCAGAGCCUAGAGUUACGCUGCCACAGGCCAAGGAAUGCCUGAGACCACCAAAAGUUUGAAGAAACAAAGAAAUUCUUCCCGAGAUCCUUCAAAGGGAGCAUGGCCCUGCUGACACCUUGAUUUCAGACUUCUGGCCUCCAGAACGGUUGAUAAGCAUGCCUGAAGGAAAUGAUAAAGUCAUGCUGAUUGGAUGGUCACUAGUGACUUCCUUACCAAGAAAACCAAAAGCCUUUGGCUUUUCUUGAAGAUGAAAGCAAAGACUUUGAAGGCAAGAAGGCAGUGAUGAAAGGCAUUCACAGCCACAAUAAAAGAGAAGGAAUAUCAUCCACCUUCCAAUGGCCUAAAACACUGUAACUCAGAAAGCACCCCAAAUAUCCUCAGAUGAGCUAGGAGAAACAAGCUUGGUCACUAUGCCAUCAUCAAGGUCACUUUGAUCACUGAGUCGGCCAUGAAGAUAGAGGACAACACAUUUGUGUUCAUUGUGGAUAUCAAGGUCAACAAGCACCAGAUUAAACAGCCCAUGAGGAAGCUCUAUGACACUGAUGUGGACAAGGUCAAUACUCUCAUCAGGCUGGAUGAAGAGAAGAAGGCAUGCGUUCCACUGUUUCCUGACUGAUAAAUUGAGAUCCCCUAAAUUGAGUUCAGCUGGCUAAUUUUAACUUGCAUUUUUUUUUCACCCAUAUUUUAAAAAUAAAGAAUAAAAAGUAAAACCAAGAGAAGAGAUUUUGUUCAUCUUCCUUGAACUUACAGAUACAUUUUAUAUUAUUACACCUUUUUAAAGAAUAUCUUUUCCCCUUUCUUCCAUAAAGUUUUGUAUUUCAAGUACCUCUUCCUCUAACUGCUUAUUUACAUCUUCACUGAACGUUUUCACCAGACAUAAAGAGGGUCAUAGUUCUGUUCUCGGUCUUUGAUUUGGUCUCUAUACUGUCCACUUUAGUAAUCUUACCCAUGUUCACAGUUUAAACACGUUGCUAAAAAAAAAAUGUGUAACUCUUACCUUGACAUUCUGUAGCUUUUUGACAUUUCCACCUGGAGUCCCAUCAGGUAUAACUUAAACUCAACCAGAAUAAAAGAAAACUCAUUCUCUGUACCUCUAUCCUCCCAAUAUUGGAGCUUUGAUUGUUUCAAUGUUCAUGUUUAUAUUGUUAUGUUCUUGCAAAUACUGUUCACUGCUGAGACAUAUAGUAUACUUCAGUCAUACUUUUGUAUAAUAAUAACUAUGAUAAAAAUUACCUUGUUUUUCUCUUUGCUUUGUUUACUAUGUACUCAUCAUGAUUUAUUCUUUUCCUCUCCCCAGACCUGUAAAAUUCCUAUGUAUUUAAAUACAUCAGGUGAUUGAUCAGUUUCAGGAAUUCCUCACCCCUCCUUAUGAAUAAUCCUUUCCGGGAAUUCCCUGGCAGUCCAGUAGUUAGGAACUUGCACUUCCACUGUUGGAGACAUGGGUUCAAUCUCUGGUUGGGGAAUUAAGAUCCCACAAGCUGAGCAACUUGGCCAAAAAAAUAAAUAAACAAAUAGCCCAUCCGAGGCUUCCAUUCUGUGACAGGCUGCUUUCUGGGCCUGUUGCUCAGCUGGCCACCUGGGACUUCUGGUAAUUUCCUUCUCCUCCCUCCUGUGUACCAUCUUCCUUUUCCUGCUUUCCACCUGUGCUUGUUUACUGAUUUCUAUCAUUUGUUUUGGUGGAAUACUUUCUCCAAUAACUUCCUGAACAGGGGUUCUUAGAGAUAAAUUUUCUGAGGCCUUGUAUAUCUGUUUUUAUUCUACCCUUAUAUACACUUGGCAGUCUGUGCAGAAUUCUAGACUGGAAAUUUACUUUGCUGACAAUUUUGAAGUCACUCAUUCAUUAUGUUCCAGCUUCCAGUAUUGCUGUGAGAAAUCUAGUGGCAUUCUGUUUCUCCCUCCUGCACAAUCUGUUUUAUUUCUCUGCAGUAUUUUAGGAUUCCACAUCAAUUAUUAGGUUGGUGCAAAAGUAAUUGUGGUUUUACAUUCUUGAGCUUUGCUG